GAGGGCAAAGUUCCUGUGGGAAAGUUUCCUUGUGGGCAAGGGUCCCUGAGGGCAAAGGUCCUGUGGGGAAAGGUCCUUCUGGGCAAAGGUCCUGUGGGGAAAGGUCCUUGAGGGCAAAGUUCUUGUGGGGAAAGGUCCUUGUGGGCAAAGUUCCUGUGGGCAAAGGUCCUUGUGGGCAAAGUUCCUGUGGGCAAAGGUCCUUGAGGGCAAAGUUCCUGUGGGCAAAGGUCCUUGAGGGCAAAGUUCCUGUGGGGAAAGGUCCUUGUGGGCAAAGUUCCUGUGGGCAAAGGUCCUUGUGGGCAAAGUUCCUGUGGGCAAAGGUCCUUGAGGGCAAAGUUCCUGUGGGCAA